UUAGUCUCUUAUCUCUCUCCUCUCUCAUCUCUCUCUUCUUUGAUCUCUCAUCUCAACCUUUUCGCAUCCUCUCCCUAACCCUAAACUCUAAUCCCCAAAAUCUCAUGGCUACCAUCGGCAAGCUAUAGUCGCUGCAAGCUACAACCAAGAUGGUUCUCUCUCUAACUUUCUCUUUCUAUUUUCUUUUUCCUUUGCUUGUUCUAUUUUCUUUUCUUUCUUUUUUCCUUGGCCAAAUUAACCCUUGAUGGGUUGGUGGUUUGGGUUAGCUAUCUCUUCUCUCUUAAGCAAAGGAAGUGGUGUGUGCGGGCUGGUGGUUUGGCUUCGCUAUGGGUUGCCAAUGGUGGGUUUCGAUUUGCUGUGGGUUUUUUUGGAUUUGGGCUUUCAAUGGUGGUGGGUUCCGAUGGUGGUGGAUUUGUUUUGGGAGUGGCUAUGCGUAUUGAUAUGUGGUGGGUUUGUUGUCGAUUGUUUGGGUUUUGUGGCCAGGGGUUGUGGGUUUCAAUAUGGGUUUGGAUUUGUUAUGGGUUGUUUGGAUAUUGUGGUCAGUGGUGGUUUUUGAUGGUGGUGGGCUUUGAUAUGGGGUUGGAGUUUUUGUUCGGGUGAGGGUGGGGGUGGUUGUGGUUUCUGCUAUGGUGGUAGUUUUGCUACGGUGGGUUUGGCUAUGGUUGUAGUUUUGCUACGGUGGUGGGUUUGAUUUUUUGGAUUUGGGUUUGUUUUUGUGGAGUUGGCUGAGUUUUGGUAUGAGUAGAAUUGGGUUAUUGUUUGCAUGUGGCUAUGGCAAAUCUGAGGUUAGGGAGAAAGAGAGUGAGGGAAGGAGAAGAGAGAAGAGACCAACGGAGAAGAGAAGGGAGAAAAACUAAUGUGGCUAACAAUGUCUAGGAUUAAAUUGGCUCUAGGGACCAAAUUGGUUUGGUUUGGAAUGUGUUGGACCUGGUUGGCAUUAAGCCAAACCUCAAGGGUACUUGGCAAUCAUGUAUGGGUACUCAACAAUCAAGUCAAAUUCAUACAAAGAAGAAUAGCGCUAGUGGAAGCAAGAAGGACAAGGGAAAGGCCAAGGCCAAGGCCUAGUGGUAGCAAAAAGAACAAAGUUGCAAAGCAUAAGAGGAUUUUGUUUAAGUCCAAGUGUUAAUGUUGGAUGUCACUUGAAGUGACUAUUUAUGUAUGAGUACUAAAAAAAUGGUUUGUGACAUAAUAAGAAUGGAACUAGUAUUCUGCUUC